GACGAACGCUGGCGGCGUGCCUAACACAUGCAAGUCGAACGGAGAUUAUAGCAAUGUAAUCUUAGUGGCGGACGGGUGAGUAACGCGUGGGCAACCUACCUCUAACCGGGGGAUAACACAGGGAAACUUGUGCUAAUACCGCAUAAGAUCAUAGGAGGACAUCCUCUAGUGAUCAAAGGAGAAAUCCAGUGAGAGAUGGGCCCGCGUCCGAUUAGCUAGUUGGCGGUGUAACGGACCACCAAGGCGACGAUCGGUAGCCGAACUGAGAGGUUGAUCGGCCACAUUGGGACUGAGACACGGCCCAGACUCCUACGGGAGGCAGCAGUGGGGAAUAUUGCGCAAUGGGGGAAACCCUGACGCAGCAACGCCGCGUGAAGGAUGAAGGUUUUCGGAUCGUAAACCUCUGUUGUACGGGAAGAAGGAUGUGACGGUACCGUACGAGAAAGCCCCGGCAAACUACGUG
rnacentral:rRNA from 1 species